AGAGGAAUAGCUCAGUGGUAGAGUGUGUACCUGAUGUGCACAAGGUCCUGAGUUCAAUCCCCAGUGCCUCCC
rnacentral:tRNA from 1 species